UGAGUAACGCGUGGGUAACCUGCCUCAUACAGGGGGAUAACAGUUAGAAAUGACUGCUAAUACCGCAUAAGCGCACAGUGCUGCAUGGCACAGUGUGAAAAACUCCGGUGGUAUGAGAUGGACCCGCGUCUGAUUAGCUAGUUGGUGGGGUAACGGCCUACCAAGGCGACGAUCAGUAGCCGGCCUGAGAGGGUGAACGGCCACAUUGGGAUUGAGACACGGCCCAAACUCCUACGGGAGGCAGCAUG
rnacentral:rRNA from 1 species